rnacentral:tRNA from 9 species
GGGGGCGUAGCUCAGUUGGGAGAGUGCUUGACUGGCAGUCAAGAGGUCGUGGGUUCGAGCCCCAUCGUCUCCA